rnacentral:rRNA from 1 species
UACGAAGGGGGCUAGCGUUGCUCGGAAUCACUGGGCGUAAAGGGUGCGUAGGCGGGUCUUUUAAGUCAGAGGUGAAAUCCUGGAGCUCAACUCCAGAACUGCCUUUGAUACUGAGGAUCUUGAGUUCGGGAGAGGUGAGUGGAACUGCGAGUGUAGAGGUGAAAUUCGUAGAUAUUCGCAAGAACACCAGUGGCGAAGGCGGCUCACUGGCCCGAUACUGACGCUGAGGCACGAAAGCGUGGGGAGCAACAGG